rnacentral:rRNA from 2 species
GGUUAAGCGACUAAGCGUACACGGUGGAUGCCCUGGCAGUCAGAGGCGAUGAAGGGCGUGCUAAUCUGCGAUAAGCGCCGGUAAGGUGAUAUGAACCGUUAUAACCGGCGAUACCCGAAUGGGGAAACCCAGUGUGAUUCGUCACACUAUCAUUAACUGAAUCCAUAGGUUAAUGAGGCGAACCGGGGGAACUGAAACAUCUAAGUACCCCGAGGAAAAGAAAUCAACCGAGAUUCCCCCAGUAGCGGCGAGCGAACGGGGAGGAGCCCAGAGCCUGAAUCAGCAUGUGUGUUAGUGGAAGCGUCUGGAAAGGCGCGCGAUACAGGGUGACAGCCCCGUACACAAAAGCGCAUGUGCUGUGAGCUCGAUGAGUAGGGCGGGACACGUGGUAUCCUGUCUGAAUAUGGGGGGACCAUCCUCCAAGGCUAAAUACUCCUGACUGACCGAUAGUGAACCAGUACCGUGAGGGAAAGGCGAAAAGAACCCCGGCGAGGGGAGUGAAAAAGAACCUGAAACCGUGUACGUACAAGCAGUGGGAGCACAGGUUUACCUGUGUGACUGCGUACCUUUUGUAUAAUGGGUCAGCGACUUAUAUUCUGUAGCAAGGUUAACCGAAUAGGGGAGCCGGAGGGAAACCGAGUCUUAACCGGGCGUUAAGUUGCAGGGUAUAGACCCGAAACCCGGUGAUCUAGCCAUGGGCAGGUUGAAGGUUGGGUAACACUAACUGGAGGACCGAACCGACUAAUGUUGAAAAAUUAGCGGAUGACCUGUGGCUGGGGGUGAAAGGCCAAUCAAACCGGGAGAUAGCUGGUUCUCCCCGAAAGCUAUUUAGGUAGCGCCUCGUGAAUUCAUCUCCGGGGGUAGAGCACUGUUUCGGCUAGGGGGCCAUCCCGGCUUACCAACCCGAUGCAAACUGCGAAUACCGGAGAAUGUUAUCACGGGAGACACACGGCGGGUGCUAACGUCCGUCGUGAAGAGGGAAACAACCCAGACCGCCAGCUAAGGUCCCAAAGUCAUGGUUAAGUGGGAAACGAUGUGGGAAGGCCCAGACAGCCAGGAUGUUGGCUUAGAAGCAGCCAUCAUUUAAAGAAAGCGUAAUAGCUCACUGGUCGAGUCGGCCUGCGCGGAAGAUGUAACGGGGCUAAACCAUGCACCGAAGCUGCGGCAGCGACGCUUAUGCGUUGUUGGGUAGGGGAGCGUUCUGUAAGCCUGUGAAGGUGUGUCGUGAGGCAUGCUGGAGGUAUCAGAAGUGCGAAUGCUGACAUAAGUAACGAUAAAGCGGGUGAAAAGCCCGCUCGCCGGAAGACCAAGGGUUCCUGUCCAACGUUAAUCGGGGCAGGGUGAGUCGACCCCUAAGGCGAGGCCGAAAGGCGUAGUCGAUGGGAAACGGGUUAAUAUUCCCGUACUUGGUGUUACUGCGAAGGGGGGACGGAGAAGGCUAUGUUGGCCGGGCGACGGUUGUCCCGGUUUAAGCGUGUAGGUGUGUGUUCCAGGUAAAUCCGGUUCACUUUAACACUGAGGCGUGACGACGAGGCACUACGGUGCUGAAGCAACAAAUGCCCUGCUUCCAGGAAAAGCCUCUAAGCAUCAGGUAACAUCAAAUCGUACCCCAAACCGACACAGGUGGUCAGGUAGAGAAUACCAAGGCGCUUGAGAGAACUCGGGUGAAGGAACUAGGCAAAAUGGUGCCGUAACUUCGGGAGAAGGCACGCUGACACGUAGGUGAAGUGAUUUACUCAUGGAGCUGAAGUCAGUCGAAGAUACCAGCUGGCUGCAACUGUUUAUUAAAAACACAGCACUGUGCAAACACGAAAGUGGACGUAUACGGUGUGACGCCUGCCCGGUGCCGGAAGGUUAAUUGAUGGGGUCAGCGCAAGCGAAGCUCCUGAUCGAAGCCCCGGUAAACGGCGGCCGUAACUAUAACGGUCCUAAGGUAGCGAAAUUCCUUGUCGGGUAAGUUCCGACCUGCACGAAUGGCGUAAUGAUGGCCAGGCUGUCUCCACCCGAGACUCAGUGAAAUUGAACUCGCUGUGAAGAUGCAGUGUACCCGCGGCAAGACGGAAAGACCCCGUGAACCUUUACUAUAGCUUGACACUGAACAUUGAGCCUUGAUGUGUAGGAUAGGUGGGAGGCUUUGAAGCGUGGACGCCAGUCUGCGUGGAGCCGACCUUGAAAUACCACCCUUUAAUGUUUGAUGUUCUAACGUGGACCCGUGAUCCGGGUUGCGGACAGUGUCUGGUGGGUAGUUUGACUGGGGCGGUCUCCUCCUAAAGAGUAACGGAGGAGCACGAAGGUUGGCUAAUCCUGGUCGGACAUCAGGAGGUUAGUGCAAUGGCAUAAGCCAGCUUGACUGCGAGCGUGACGGCGCGAGCAGGUGCGAAAGCAGGUCAUAGUGAUCCGGUGGUUCUGAAUGGAAGGGCCAUCGCUCAACGGAUAAAAGGUACUCCGGGGAUAACAGGCUGAUACCGCCCAAGAGUUCAUAUCGACGGCGGUGUUUGGCACCUCGAUGUCGGCUCAUCACAUCCUGGGGCUGAAGUAGGUCCCAAGGGUAUGGCUGUUCGCCAUUUAAAGUGGUACGCGAGCUGGGUUUAGAACGUCGUGAGACAGUUCGGUCCCUAUCUGCCGUGGGCGCUGGAGAACUGAGGGGGGCUGCUCCUAGUACGAGAGGACCGGAGUGGACGCAUCACUGGUGUUCGGGUUGUCAUGCCAAUGGCACUGCCCGGUAGCUAAAUGCGGAAGAGAUAAGUGCUGAAAGCAUCUAAGCACGAAACUUGCCCCGAGAUGAGUUCUCCCUGAGACUUAGAGUCUCCUGAAGGAACGUUGAAGACGACGACGUUGAUAGGCCGGGUGUGUAAGCGCAGCGAUGCGUUGAGCUAACCGGUACUAAUGAACCGUGAGGCUUAACCUU